UUAGUUCUACGAUAUUGCUAGUUUUUGUAUGUGUGAAUAUUAAAAACGUAAUAAAAUACUGAUAUGGUAAAGAUUAUUGAGACAUCAAUGAGAGCUAUAGAUUAAAAGUACUGAAUAGGAAAUAAAUAAAAGUCUAAGAUUUUUAAAGUAAACUUUAAAAGUUGUACCUUGUGUAUCAGGGAUAAUCAAAUUAUAGCAUGAAGAAUAGUGCUAAUCCCGAAUUAAAGAUAGCUAACAUAUUAAUAAGGUUUUUGUAGCAUAAAAAUCUGUAAUGGUAUGUUAAAGAUGAAAUGUUAAACGAGCUUUAAAAUAUCUGGUUCUCCAGGAAUAGAAUAACAAUUCGAUCUUUAGAUUUAAAUUGAUCUAAAGGUAAAGAGCAGGAGGGAAGAGCUUCUUGUUUCUAAUAAAAUCAUUUAAGAGAAAGUUAAAAAAUUAAUCUUUUCUAGGCUUAAAAGUAGCUAUGAUAUUAAAGUGUUCUAAUUUAGGUUAAUAAAAAAAGUAAUUUAUAAUUUCUUUAAGAGUUACUGGAGUAUUAUUAGAAUCUUAAUACUUUAAGAAAUAAUGAUUAUAUAAGUAUAGUUUAUAUGUAAAGAGUUAAUUUUAAAAUGUUAAAAAAUUUAUAAAAGCUUAAGAGAAUAGCGAAAGGAACUCGGCAAAAAAUUUUCUUGCCUGUUUAUCAAAAACAUGUCUAUUAGAAAUUGUUUAUAGUCUAGCCUGCUCACUGACAUAAAGUGUUAAAUAGCCGCGGUAUCUUGACCGUGCAAAGGUAGCAUAAUCAUUAGUUUCUUAAUUGGGAACUUGUAUGAAUGGUUGGACAAAGAAAAAUCUGUCUCUUGCACUGAAAUUGAAUUUAACUUCUAAGUGAAAAGGCUUAGAUUAUCCAGAGGGACGAUAAGACCCUAUAAAGCUUUAUAAAUUUAUUAAUUUCGUUUAUUUUUUAUUAUAAUAAUGAUGAUAAGAGAAUUUAUUUGGUUGGGGCAACCGAAGUAUAAUUUUAAAUAACUGCUAUAAUUUAAUACAAUGAUUUUUGUCUUAUACAAUAAUUGAUCCUCAAAGAGAUUAAAGACCAAGUUACUUUAGGGAUAACAGCGUAAUUUAUCCUGAGAGUUCUUAUCAAAGGAAAAGUUUGCGACCUCGAUGUUGAAUUAAAAUGUCUACCUAGUGCAGCAGCUAGGAAAGAAGGUCUGUUCGACCUUUAAUUUUUUACAUGAUUUGAGUUCAGACCGGCGUGAGCCAGGUUGGUUUCUAUCUUCUGGAGAUAAAAUAGAAUCACUUUAGUACGAAAGGAUUUGGUGGUUAAAAUUUUUUUAUAAUUUUUGAAAU
rnacentral:rRNA from 1 species